rnacentral:rRNA from 1 species
UACAGAGGGGGCAAGCGUUCUUCGGAAUUAUUGGGCGUAAAGGGCGCGUAGGCGGCUUUUCAAGUGACGGGUGAAAUCCCUCGGCUUAACCGAGGAACUGCCUGUCAGACUGGAAGGCUUGAGACCGGGAGAGGUGAGUGGAAUUCCCAGUGUAGCGGUGAAAUGCGUAGAUAUUGGGAGGAACACCAGUGGCGAAGGCGGCUCACUGGACCGGAACUGACGCUGAGGCGCGAAAGCGUGGGGAGCAAACAGG